UUGAAAGCAAGCGGUGGUUGUUGUGUGUGAACACCAAAUCAGCAGCUCUAGCAGGAGUAAGCUUGUUUCUUGCAGCGCUAUGGAUGAAGCCGUACGUACUCUAGUUCCUCUCACAACAAGAGAAAGAUGUUGGCUGCCCAAGUACCUUCAAGGCUAAAAAAUUUAACAGCCUUGUGCUUACUCCAUGAGUGCCCCACCAUUGCUUAGGUUCAAAGUCAGCUCUAUCUUCAAUAGAAUCUGGAUUUUCAAAGGCAUUCAUGAAAAGAGCAAAAUCAGCAAAUUCUUUCUUGAUAGUCUUGAAAUCUUCUUGAUCUGGAUAGAACUUUCGAAAGCAUUUGUUCCUCAUUUCAGUAACUUCACUAUCAUCAUUGGGGCUGAUACGGCCAGGGACUUCGUUAAUCCAACUAGCAAUAUAGUACCUAAAUAAAAUCAGCAAGCACUUGAACAUUAAGAACCUGAAAUGAUAAACAACAUGUGCAACUUCAAUUCAGAUUUUACCUUGGAUUGAGUGAGUGAGCCAAACAAUGCAGGGGGUAUUGCUUUUGGUCCAACGGGCAACAAGGAUCUCUUUAAUGAUGUCAUACAAGAUACACUCUUCAUGGGGCUCCUUCCCCUCAAACCGAUAGAUAGGUAUUUUGACCUAUGAACAAGAUGACGAAUAAAAUCAGCAUGUUACACAUGUCAACAAUGAUCAAAUCAGCAUGUAUUCAUGUAUAUAUUAUAUACCUUCUCUAUCAUGGAAUACCAC
rnacentral:lncRNA from 1 species